GACGAACCGUGCGAACGUUAUUCGGAAUCACUGGGCUUAAAGCGCGUGUAGGCGGGCCGGCACGUCGGUCGCUGAAAUCCCCCGGCUCAACCGGGGAAGGGGCGCCGAUACGACCGGCCUGGAGGGGCGUAGGGGGACCUGGAACUUCCGGUGGAGCGGUGAAAUGCGUUGAGAUCGGAAGGAACGCCCGUGGCGAAAGCGAGGUCCUGGACGCCUGCUGACGCUGAGACGCGAAAGCCAGGGGAGCCGGAACGGG
rnacentral:rRNA from 1 species